rnacentral:lncRNA from 1 species
GCACGUCUGCCCCUAAUGAGUUUGUGUUUUGACUUUGGGGACAGCGAAUAGAGAUGAAAGAGUAGAAGGAGUGCUUUUGGCUGAAAAUAUAAAACCCAUGAAAACUGCUCACCCAUGUUUCUCUGUUCAGGGCAAGUGUGGAAGGAACUUCUCUGGCUGUGCCAGGUGAGCCUAGAUGCAGAAGAGAGACAGGAUAUUAAGAUAUACAUGAAUUAAGUAUGACUGAGAAAAUGCAGAAUUAAUCUGCAAAUUUAAAGGAUUAAUUUAUUCCCAUUAUUUCUGUUAUUUCACUUCAUGCUCACUGUGUGCCUUUCUUGUAUUUGGUCUCUCCUUUAAAAAAAGUUUAUAAAUUUUUCCAGUGACCUGGAAGACUAUUUUUUUUUAUCUUUAAAGAAAAUAGUCUGCAGAAUAAUCUCCUCUUCUAGGCAAACAAAUGUCAUCUUCAGAAUAAAACAUGCAUACACAAGGAAAUUCCACCGAAGUAGGGGAAAAAAAGCUUACUUGGCUUGGGCCCCUUUCAGCAUGAUCUGAUAUACAGUAUUAAGUUAUCCUUAGAUGAUCUGUUAUUAUCUUCCUCCUCCCGAGCCACGUGUCAGCAACCAUAUGUGUGUGAGCAGCUGAAACUGUCCUUUGAACUCUCCACUGGCAAGUGGACGAGUGGACAGCAGGCUGGAGUUGGGUGCAGUACCUGUCCAAGUGGCUGGCCAAGCUCUGUAUCCUCAGGCCUCUGCCACUCCAGAUGGAGUCUGGAGUCAAGUCCCAGCUUGUUUGGAGUCAACUCAGGGAAUCUCAGUGAGGAAUUGCUGCUCCUGUGAGCUGAGCAUGUGAAUCCCUGGUAGCCAGAAGUUGAUCCAGACCUGACCUUCAAAAUAGGAUGAAGACUGUCUCAUUAGCACCUGCCUGUCUCUCUCUGGACCAGUUGCACCCAAAGCUUCCAGGCAGCCCUGUGGGUGUGUUCAGGCCUCUCUGCACCUCUUCCCUGUGGGCAUGUCCUCAGGAAGCUGACAAACAUUGACCACAGGGGACAAACCACAACAAAUCGACUGAGCCGCAGAAGAACCCUGCCCCUGUGCUACCUAUGUGUGAGCA